rnacentral:rRNA from 1 species
UAUCUGCUGUGAAUAUUCUGAGCAGUGGCCGUGGGCAGCGGGGCGCGGCGGGCGAACGCGUGAAGGACGACGGCCCUAUGGGUUGUAAACUUUUUUUGUAUAGGGAUAAACCUACCCUCGUGAGGGUAGCUGAAGGUACUAUACAAAUAACCACCGGCUAACUCCGUGCCAGCAGCCGCGGUAAUUAAA